GCCGUUCGCCGUGUCGUCCCCCCCCCCGUCCCCGUCCCCGCGGCCCGUCCCCCGGCGAGGAGCGAGUGCCGCCGCUCCGCCUUCUCCUUUUCGCAAUGUUGACGCAAUCUAUAAAUAGUGGAACAAAAGGAGCAACUUCCUCGCAGCUUUGCUGAAACUGCACAAAAAAGGCAACCGGGGGGGUGGGGGGCGUUAUUUUGAUUUGAUUUUUUUUUGCCACCGCUUUCAAAAGCGAAGCCUCCUUCCCCCUCCCCCGCCGCUCUCUCGCUACUGGAAGAUUACAGAUCCGUGCGCGAUUAUUUUUUGAUUCCUCGUUGUCUGCUGCGCUGGCACCGUCCUGCGAGCGGCGGAGCGGCUCGGCGCCGGGCUUCCCCCGCUGACAAUCAUGGAUGAAAUCCAUACACUGAUGUCUAACCUGUAACAAAGGCUCAUGUUUCGACCUUUCAAUAGAGAGCUGAUUUUGGAGAACGGCUUAGUCCUGUGAUUGAAAAACUCUUUCUGGAAGGUUGAUGGAGCAGGAGCAUGAACAUUUCAAUUGCUGUCCAUCACUUCCUCGGAAGCCUCAGUAUUGCCAUUCCAAAUGACUCUUUGUUUGUUGAUAUGACUGCAGUGAAGGACUGGUGCACCUCCUACAACAGAACAUGCAAGUCAGAGCUCUUGUUUGGAGGGGGCCUAGUGGAGAGACCUGGUGAAGUUAUCUGUACACACAAUCCCCUGCUUUUACUGAGGCCUCCUCAGUAAUUUGUCCCCCAACAACAGCUGAAGACAUAAGGAUAGAGGAGCAAACACUGGAAAGAAGGGAAGGAAAACUUACCAAACUUUCCCACCUGUGGCCUGCAAAACUGCUUUGUGCUUACACAGUCCUGUUAAUUUAAGAGGGUGAUUUCAUCCUGCACUGGCUCUAAGAUUCUUCACAGUGGAAAGAAGUACUCGGGUUGAAUCUGUUCGGUAACAAUAUAUAGGAAUUGAGAUUAUCUGAUGGCAAAUGUGGAGUAGGUGCAUAUGUAGUCUUGACUGCUUUGGUUUACAUGAAAGCUGAAUUUAUUAAAGGAGUGAUCUCAGCCUAUACCUGUCUAACAGUGCUUUGGUAAGUGUGCUUUUAUGUAUAUUUAUGUAUAUAAUUAUAACAGUGACAUCACUUUAAAUGCUAGUGUAUCUUUAUUAAGACUCCUGUAACUAUGUUAAUUUUUACAGCAUUUUCUUAAUGGAUGGAAAUUGGGAAAUGUUUAGUGAUAUUUUUAGCGAAGCAAGCACAUACAGCAGAAAUACCUUCCAAAAUUACUAAUGAAACUUAUUCAGAUCUCAGAUUAAAUCAAACAUUCUUAAUUCAUUUCUUAAACUACAAACAGCUGAAAAUUCUAACCCUAAAACUGUUAACUAUGUAAGUGACUGUGAAUUACUAAUUCUUUUCUCAUCUUCCACUGACACGUUUCUUUUGCAGGGGAAUCUUUCAUUGAGACAAUUGAAAUUGCUGCAGUGAGAAUGGAAAUUACUUGGGAUCCUUUCCUUUUAAAAGCUGUAUGCAAGAACUGUGUGAGAUAAACCUGCAAGGAUGCACUGUCUCCAGUGGUGGAAUGGAACUCUCCUACAUUUGCAGCUCUGAGGUCCUAUGGAUUUUGCCUGAUUGAAGAAAGAAAGGUGUAUUAUAUUCAGUCCAGAUGCUGCUAGUUUAGGAACUGUGAGGGGAAGCAGAUGCUUAAUUAUAAAUAAGGGAAAUAAAAGAAAGGCCUGCUUGAAAAUAUCUUGAGAUUAGUUGCUAUUCAAGAGUGAAGACAGCUGGUGAGAGGAGCAUGUCUGAAACUCCAGUGUUUGAAAGAUUGGAGCUGCAAACUGGUAGGGGAAAGAGAUGUGAAAUUGGAAAGUUGGAAAGACUGGUACAGGUUGGGUAAUGAUUUAGGGAUUCAUUUGUUUCUUGAAGAUGGAAGAAGCAGCAGCUUAGCAGAAGGAACCCUGCCUGAUACUGUAAAAAGAAAGCAGGGGAAAGCAGGUCAACGUUAAUGUUUAUUAGAAUGUUUAGCACUUGAAUCAGGCUGCGACAUAGCAGUUUUUGCUAUGAAAUCACUGUCACUUUCAUUUCUCAUCCACAUCCACAGAGAAAAGGGUGUCUUUAUUACUACAGUCAGCUACUUCAUGAAAUUUCAUCCUGAAAUUCAAAAAUUACAAAGUAGUUGAUGUGCUACUGGAGAUCAUCUAGCCGAAGCAGAAUCAGGCAGAACAGGCCUCUCAGGGGUGUAUCUGAUCUUAAUUUGCCCCCUUGUGUUAGUCUACUAUGAAGCAAUCUUCAUGAUCGUAUGGAAUAUUCAAUGAUAGGACCAGUGUGGUGUGCUGCUGAGUCAGGGAAGGUGUUUGUAAGGCUGUACAAGGAAGAAGUUCAACUCUGCUACAGAAAUAGGUUGAAAAUUCUGUAGGGAAUGGACCAAAGCCUACAAGCAGAAGAAACUGUCUUUAUGUUUACGUGACGUGAGAAAUCCUAGGAAUUGGAUGUUAUAUUUGAUCUUCUGUUUUUAUUUUCGUACGGUGUACAAAUUACCAUUGAUUUUUGCAGUGUUAUGUUCCUCACUUCACAAGUGGCUUUGAGCCAUCAAGUCCAAUAGAAACACUGGAUGUCCACGUUUGCAGCUGAUCUGCUUAAGAAUUGCAAACAUGAAUUUAAACUUUGUGUAAUGUUAUGUCUGCCUGUAGUCUCCUACAUAUUUCAAGUGGGAUACCUCCAACCGUUGGGUACUACUGUAGUUUCUAUAUCUUUGUGUCACGUUUAAAGUAGGGAUGAUAGUCACUUGAGGGGAUGUUUAUCUAUUUUUGCUUAUUUCAAGCUUUGUCUGUUAGUUGUGCUACAGGGAUGUGUUUCCUCAUGGGAUUUUCUAUGGCAUUUAUGACUUCAGAUCACAGAGGAAGAGAUGAAUUAUAAUCUGGUAUAACAGUUGACAGUAACAAGAGAGGGCAAGGAUAUACGCUGUGCUUGAAGAGGAAGAAUGGGAAAGAUAACAGACCCAAAGUCACUAAGCCUGGUGAGCUGCUUAAAUGUUGGCAUGACCACCUAAAAUCCUUCAGAUCAGUGUAAGAUAUUGGCUGAAGCAGGACCAGGAGGCUCACCUGGGAAACAGAGAACCCAGGUUUCAGGUCCUUCAGAAAUCGGGGGGGAUUCAAGUUCACGUCUCCUGCUUCUGAAAAAUAGUACUUGGGGAAAGUUGCCCACAGAUGUUCCUCAUCUUUCUUGUUAAAUCAAUGAUAUGUGCAGAAAAGCAUAGAAGUCACAAAACGGUUUUGUUCAAUGGUUGUUGGCAGUGAUAACUGUUAGCAUUACCAGAUGAAAGCAAGCUGCAGGUAGGAUUUCAAAGGGUACUGGAAUUUGUUUUUCUUGGACUAACUGCAGUUCUUUGCAAGUUCCAUAUUCUUUUCUUAAGAUGUUUCCUAAGUAAUAGUAAAAAAGAUCAUAUAGUAAAUACAAGUGCCCAUUAAAACAUGCUAAAGGAAUACCUUAUGUUUCCAGUAGAUGAACACUGAGAUAGUUGAAUAUUUGUGAACUAGAUCACAGAUCUCUGUUAUGCCAAAGUUCUGUUUUAAGUUGCUGGAGAGAGCACCAGUAAAGAUGUCCUUAAACUGCUUUAUACUCUUGGGUUUUCUACAGCUGCUGAGGAGGGGAGGUAACAGAAUUAAAGAAAGGUUGCUCAGCAAUCAGCAGUGAUUCACCUCUUCACUAGUCUGGAUUGCUUUUCUUUUGUUUUUGACAAGAAGGUUUUACACUCUCCCUCCCCAAUUAGUGUGAUUGACGAGAGUCUGCUCUGGGUAAGAGAUUUAAGCAACUUGCUGUGAACAGAGAAGCUACAACUCCUCUUUUUGGGAGUGGUUACUUAAUUUCCAAACUGUGAUUAGACUAUAAGACAGCCUCAAGGCUUGUGUGUAAUUUAUACUUCAUUCAAGCAAUUCUAGUAGCUUAAAAUAAAGUUUACUUGGCAAAGCUGUGAUAGCAUGAUCCUGUUAUUUUAUGCUUAUUCAGGCAUAAAGUAAGUAGCUUUUGAAAGAUACUGCCUUACUCUAUGAAGGUAUCCUCCAUCUGUUUCUUCCAAAACUGCACCUUUCUCUGAGUGUUGAACUAUGAGCAGCCGGCCAGUGUAGGGCAGUGGAUAUUUCUAAAGGUAAUUGACAAAUUCUUGCCUGUAUCUCUACUUUUUCACUUUUAUUUCAGAGUCCUUAUAAAAAUAGUGUCUGUUCCUGAUGAUUUGUGGUGUUUGUUUCCCAGGCUGCCAAUAGGGUCUUCCUUUGAGACUUCUAGGCCUAAGUGAAACUCCUCUGAUUGCUCAUAGAGCAUGCUCUCAAGACAGGAAUUUGUCACCCUCUGUAUUAAAAGCAAAUCAUGUGUCUUGAACUCCUUUUAAAUUUGCCUGUUCCUUCCUCAUUUUGGCACUACAUAGACAAAACAAAACGAAACAACCAACCAACCCUGAAUUCUACUAUAUAAGAAUACUUCUACUUAUUCUUCUCUCUGUACACUUGUAUCCAGGCUCCAUAUUCAACUAUUGGUACCUGCGCAUCUGAUGUUCUUGUACAUGGGUAUUGUUCUGCAUCACAUGAGGAAGCAAAAGCUGUAAAUCAGUGCAUGGGCAGUGUUAAUCUGUCCAGCCCCUUGUUCUCCAGACUGACAGUGACUGAACAGAGCUCUUCAUUAGCCUGUGAUUUAGCAGGUGGUUGUUUAUUAUUCACUAACUUGUACUUAAGUCAGCACUUAAAGAGCUGCUAAGAUUGGUUUCAGAAAUAGUAGCAUUUGUUAUUUUCCUGCUGGAUGAACUGCUUUAGCCUGGGAAGAAUUUCAUAUCAGUACAUACCUCAUGAAUGGGUACAACUUAAUGCUUAAUGUUCAGAGGCAUACUGCAUAAUGUGGCACUGUUAUUAAGGACUGUCUAUGUAAGAUACAGCUUACUUGGUUUGAAGAGCAUUAUCUGGAUCUUCAGUGAAGGCCAAAACAUCUUGCCUCAAGAUGUGACAAGUGAUACAGGCACCUUGUCUCCCGUUCUGGUUUGCCUGAGCAGAAACACUGAAAAAUAGCAGAACCUACUUGUUCUUUCCAUUUUGUGCUCUAGGCUGUCAGCAAGUCUCCUAGUAUGCCUUGGCCCUGAUUAGAGGGUGACAAGGAACAGAACUUCUGCAAAAUCCAUCCUAAUUUUCUCCUUGCAUGUAAUUUGUUUGGAAGGUAAGUACAGCUCGUACCUAGGAACACUAGGAAGUUUUAUGAUGCAGGUUUGGAGCUACCUUGACGUUUCAUGGGAUGUGGUCUGCAGUCUGUGAAUCCAUUAACAGCUGUGUUGUCAGAGCAGAAAUCAUCAGUGGUGAUGAUACUGGAAUUAAUUUGAAUGAGGUUGAGUCACUUUUGGAUUGUUCAGCUAAAACCAAACUAAUCAGUCCAGCGCUCCAUUAUCAAAUCUGGCUCAGACCCUUAGAAAUCUCUAUGGGCACUCAUAC